GCUGGACAUGGUGGCUCAUGUCUGUAAUCCCAACACUUGGGAGGCUGAGGUGAGAGGAUCACUUGAGCCCAGGAGUUUGAGACUAGCCUGGGCAACAUAGUGAGACCCCAUCUCUU
rnacentral:sRNA from 1 species